AUUGAACGCUGGCGGCAGGCCUAACACAUGCAAGUCGAACGAGUGGCGGCCGGGUGAGUAAUGUCUGGGAAACUGCCCGAUGGAGGGGGAUAACUACUGGAAACGGUAGCUAAUACCGCAUACCAUCGGAUGUGCCCAGAUGGGAUUCGCUAGGAGGUGGGGUAACGGCUCACCUAGGCGACGCUCCCUAGGUGGUCUGAGAGGAUGACCAGCCACACUGGAACGGAGACACGGUCCAGACUCCUACGGGAGGCAGCAGGGGGGAAUAUUGCACAGUGGGCGCAAGCCUGAUGCAGCCAGGCCGCGUGUAUGAAGAAGGCCUUAGGGUUGUAAAGUACUUUCAGCUGGGAGGCGUUACCCGCAGAAGAAGCACCGGCUAACGCCGUGCCAGCAGCCGCGGUAAUAC
rnacentral:rRNA from 1 species